rnacentral:rRNA from 1 species
UACGUAGGGUGCAAGCGUUUGUCCGGAAUCAUUGGGCGUAAAGCGCGCGUAGGUGGCUUCGUAAGUCCGUUGUGAAAGUCAAAGGCUCAACCUUUGAAUGCCGAUGGAUACUGCGAAGCUAGAGUACGGAAGAGGCGAGUGGAAUUCCUGGUGUAGCGGUGGAAUGCGCAGAUAUCAGGAGGAACACCAAUAGCGAAGGCAGCUCGCUGGGACGUACUGACACUAAGGCGCGAAAGCGUGGGGAGCGAACAGG